CUUGCGUGACUGGCGAGAAGAGGUGGAGAGAACCACCGUGGAGCGCAGGGCAUAUGCGCCGCUCGCCUGGGCACCCU
rnacentral:ncRNA from 1 species